rnacentral:SRP_RNA from 1 species
GCUGGUGCCUGUGAUCCCAGCUCCCGAGGAGGCUGAGGCCGGCGGAUCGCUUGAGCUCGGGAGUUGUGGGCUGUGCCGAUCGGGUAUCCGCACUAAAUUCAGCAUCAAUAUGGUGACCCCGGGGGAGCUUGGGGUCCCCAGGUUGCCUCAGGAGGGGUGAACCGGCCCAGGUCGGGAACGGAGCAGGUCAAAACUCCCGUGCCGNCGCCUGUGAAUAGCCCCUGCAGCGUAGCCUGGGCAAGACAGUGAGAUGCUGUCUCU